rnacentral:rRNA from 1 species
UACGAAGGGGGCUAGCGUUGCUCGGAAUUACUGGGCGUAAAGCGCACGUCGGCGGCUCUUUAAGUCGGGGGUGAAAUCCUGGAGCUCAACUCCAGAACUGCCUUCGAUACUGUAGAGCUUGAGUUCGGGAGAGGUGAGUGGAACUGCGAGUGUAGAGGUGAAAUUCGUAGAUAUUCGCAAGAACACCAGUGGCGAAGGCGGCUCACUGGCCCGGUACUGACGCUGAGGUGCGAAAGCGUGGGGAGCAAACAGG